GAUGAAUUUUAUUCUUUUUUAUUAUUUAUUUAUUUUUAUAUUAUUUUAUAUGUAAAUUUUUGUGGGGGAGAAGUUUAGGGUUUCUAGAUGGUUGUUAAAUUAUUUUGUGUGCAGUAAUAUAUAUUAUUUUAUUAAGUUAAUUUUGAUAUAGUAAUUGUUGAUAAGUAUUGAUUAAAUAUGUGCCAGCAUUCGCGGUUAUACAUUAGAUAUAAAUAAAUAUUUUUAGUUAUAGUAGUUAAUUUGUUUUAUUAAUUUUUAUUUUAUAUUUUUAGGUGAAAUUAUUUAUUUUUAUUAUUUUAUUUUAGUUUAUUGAGGCUAUGAAAUCUUUUUUUAAACUAGGAUUAGAUACCCUAUUAUUUUUGAUGUAAAUUAUUAUAAACUUUAGUAGUAUUAGAUUUGUUCUUGAAACUUGAAGAAUUUGGCGGUGUUUUAGUCUUUUUAGAGGAAUCUGUUUUUUAAUCGAUAAUCCGCGUUGAACCUUACUUAUUUUUUUUUUGUAUAUCGUCGUUAUUGAAUUUUUUUUUAGGAUUUAAAUUUUCUUAACAUAUUAUUGUAUAAUAUUUCAGGUCAUGGUGCAGUUUAUAUAUAAGUUAAAGUGGAUUACAUUAUUUUUUUUUUAUUGUAUGGAUUUAAUUUUAUGUAAUUAUUUAUUUGAAAUUGGAUUUAAUAGUAAAUAUUUGUAGAUUGUAAUUUUGAAAUAUGCUCUAGGAUGUGUACAUAUCGCCCGUCACUCUCGUUGAUUUAAAAUGAGAUAAGUCGUAACAAAGUAGUUGUACUGGAAAGUGUAUCUAGAUUUAAAUAGUU
rnacentral:ncRNA from 1 species